AUUGAACGCUAGCGGGAUGCCCUACACAUGCAAGUCGAACGGAGUGGCGAACGGGUGCGUGAUGUAAAGGAACGUGCCCAGUAGCGGGGGAUAACUACGCGAAAGCGUAGCUAAUACCGCAUACUAUUGGCGUGGCCGAUAUCGGAUUAGCUAGUGGGGGGGGUAACGGCUCACCAAGGCGACGAUCCCUAGCUGGUUUGAGAGGAUGACCAGCCACACUGGGACUGAGACACGGCCCAGACUCCUACGGGAGGCAGCAGUGGGGAAUAUUGGGCAAUGGGGGAAACCCUGAUCCAGCCAUCCCGCGUGUGCGAUGAAGGCCUUCGGGUUGUAAAGCACUUUUGGCAGGAAAGCGGUACCUGCAGAAUAAGCACCGGCUAACUACGUGCCAGCCGCCGCGGUAAUUC
rnacentral:rRNA from 1 species